rnacentral:lncRNA from 1 species
GGGGGAGGCUGGUGAGGCAUGUCCUGGCUUGUCUGCGGUGUCGGCUUUGAAGAGGCCCCAGAGGUGUUCCUCUGCUUCAUGCUGAUUCCUGGGAGGAGAAGGCCUAUCCCAAAGAAGGGGCCAUGGCCAUCAAGGGGCAACAGAGAUGGUGGGCUCCUUCAGACCAAUUGGAAGCAGAGAAACUCAUGGUGUCAUCACAGCCUCGGUUAUUCCCCCACCCUGGACACCGGUAUUCAUUUUGAUGAAUGUCCAUCCUGUAAUGUGGGAGCUACUGGAGGAAGCUACUUGAGAAAGAAGAAAAAGGCGCAUGGUGGCACUGGGCUCUUCGAGUUCACGGGCUCUCUGCUAUUAACUGUGGUGAGCCAGGAGCACAAGCUGGAAUGUGGUGGGUCUUUAGGAAAUGUAUGGUUCAGUCACUACGUUUUCUGGUCCAUAGGAAGAAGGGGGGGGGCAGGUAUGCUGUUCUCAUAGUACAGAAACCGAAAUUGGAGACCAGAUGAACCCUGGGGCUGGAUCGAGGUUCUCUGGGGACCUCAUUCUGUUUGCCGGAGAGAUAAGACAGUGGACCUUCACGAAUGGAAGACAAGCAGUCUUUGUUGGUACAUGACUGCCCAAUUCCCCAACUCGUCUCUGAACCUCUCCACUUCCCUGACCAUCUGAACCCUAUCUCAACUCUUCACAGACGAGACAACAAUCCCCUUUUAUGUAUGUAGUAUUUUAGAGUUACAGAGCAUUUUUAUAUGCCGUCCCCCCCCCCCCCCCCCCAGCAGUGCUGUGAAGCAGGCAAAAUGAGGACUUUCGUUUAACAGAUGAAAUAUCUGAGAAACCGGGGCCCGGGCUGGUGUUGGGUUUGCUCUGAAGGCCCCCCAUUCAAAUGGUAUGCCUGGGGAUUCUAACUCACAUUCUUGGUCACCCCAACCUUUGGGAUCAGGGAGGUCCUUGGCAUGCAGAUGAUAAUGGAAUUCUCUUUUUUUACUGAGGUGAAAUUCACAUGGCCUACGAUUUGCCAUUUUAAAGUGAACAGUUCAAUGGCAUUCAGAGCAAGGGCAACCACAAUGUUGUGCAA